rnacentral:snoRNA from 3 species
UGUCCCUAAACUGGGUACAGUGGUAUCUGGUUGGUGCCUGUCUCCUAUCAGUCGGGGACCGAGCAACUCCUUGUUUAUCCAGGCUUGGCUUUUGGUCUGUGUUCAUGCCCUGGCCACAUGC